rnacentral:rRNA from 1 species
AACGAACGCUGGCGGCAGGCUUAACACAUGCAAGUCGAACGCAUCGCAAGAUGAGUGGCAGACGGGUGAGUAACGCGUGGGAACAUACCCUUUUCUACGGAAUAGCUCUGGGAAACUGGAAUUAAUACCGUAUACGCCCUACGGGUGAAAGAUUUAUCGGGGAAGGAUUGGCCCGCGUUGGAUUAGCUAGUUGGUGGGGUAAAGGCCUACCAAGGCGACGAUCCAUAGCUGGUCUGCGAGGAUGAUCAGCCACAUUGGGACUGAGACACGGCCCAAACUCCUACGGGAGGCAGCAGUGGGGAAUAUUGGACAAUGGGCGGAAGCCUGAUGCAGCCAUGCCGCGUGAGUGAUGAAGGCCUUAGGGUUGUAAAGCUCUUUCACCGAUGAAGAUAAUGACGGUAGUCGGAGAAGAAGCCCCGGCUAACUUCGUGCCAGCCGCCGCCGUAAAAC